AAGGACUUAAUUUUUAAGAAGGACAAGGAAAUGAUACCUUGUCCGUAAGAUUAAGGAAUACAUUUCCAUAUAUGUAUAAACAUAUGCAUAAACAUAUAGUAAAUUACUAUGUGAUUUAGAUUAAAUAUCUGCAGAAAUUAUUCGGUGCACUUAUGAAUAAAAAUUUAAGUCCCAAUUGUUUUAACAAAACCAUACAAUAAACGCAGUUAUUCUCUUUAAACGCAUCUGGAGUUCCCGCUACAACCUUAAGUAUAGACCCUAAGAAGUCUAGACUUCUUGCCAAUGUGGUGCACUCCUAAUGAGUCCCGAAGGUGAUCGAUGUUCGCAUUCAGAAGCAUCUUCAUGUGCGACCGUGGAAACAAGUCGCUCAUGCCGGCGGUCUCUUCCACAACUCGUCUGAAUUCCGAAAGAUUAGAAGAGUGGGUGACUCGUGCGUAUUCCUCCCAUACUAGAAUGCGGCCCUCCACAACUGGAAUGUACUUGGCUUGAGAAAAGUCGGUAAUGUGCGCCGACGCCAAGGAUAGGGAAAGGAGGAUGGCAAGACUGAACCUGCGAAAUGGAAUGGGUACUUUUUACUUUCUGGUUUACUCAUGCAGAGGCUUCCCACCACCAAAAGGAAUGUCUUAAAUGAUAAAUCUUAGGCUCGAAGAUGGAUCUUAUAACUAAUCUUAUAUAUCUUAUAAAAGGUUUUGCUUAAU